rnacentral:lncRNA from 1 species
UUUUUUUUUUUUUUAAGAUUCUUCUAUCCUUUGGAAAGAGACAAAGCACUAAGGCAGUAUUAGCUGUUUGUUGCAUAUACUCUGUAAAUUGGCCAUCAGCCAGGUUUCCUCAUAAAGAUGGGUAGUGUGCCUUUGUCCCACCUUGUGCCAAGAAUAGGAAAAUGAAUUAACUUGGACAUGCUUUGGAUGUUUUCAGCAUGAAAACUGAUAUCCAUAGGUUUAAAAUGAAUUUAUUCUCUAAAUAUUUGCACUCAAAAAGUUUAGAUGAAAAUACUCUGUGACGAUUCAAAGAUAGAACGUUGAGAAGUAACAAAAUUAGAAUCAUUUCAGAGAAUUUUAAAGAGACACAUUGAACAAAAUACCUGUGGGUGAAGUGGAUGCAGCUUUGGAUGCAACUGCUUGAAUCUACUUCUAAGAGAUUUUUCUAGCUUUUAAAGAAAAUUUUUAUGUUGAGAAGUUUGAGAUUUUUUUAUAUACUCACAUGAUAUAAUAUACUUUUUUCUUUCUUCCCUCAAAUAAGGUAGAAUAAACAUUAAGGAAAAAUUUGAAACCUGCAGUAUUACCUAAUUUACUAAUUGCAAAAUAUCUUAAUAUGUUUUGCCAUUUUGUGUAUUGAAUAAUAAAAAUAUAAUAGACCAGACAGUCAGGUUCUAUAUGAUUGUGAAGGAGUGGAAAUAUUUUUAUUUCUUCUUGGUUUGUAACUUGAAUUUAAAACUAAAAAAAAAAAAAAAAAGAGAGAGAAGGAAGGAAGUGGAGGGAAAGUGGAACAUUUUGAUAGAUUUUUCAAAUACUUUUAAAGAUUUUCUUUUUUGCUAGUUUAGAGAAACGGGCACAAUUUAUGUAGUAUUGUUCUUCUGUGAUUCUGAUUUUGCCUAUACAAAGACUGACCAUACCAAUUAUUGUUCAUUUGAUCUAGAAAGCUUUCUUUUCCAUAUGUGAAUGUUAUAUUGGUAUAGCUAAUAAUUCCCAGAAGAGACAUAAAGUGCCCUCAUAGAAAAUAAAAUUGAAGUACCUUAACACAUGCUUAGGCAGUCACAAAUGGAACAGUUUGCAAAAACCUUUUUAUAUUUCUAGUCAUUGAUAUUUAUUUAUGAGAGUAAUUUUCUAUUUACAAAUUGUCAUUAAUCCUGACAGCUUUAUGGUUUAUGUGCUCCCUUAGGCGUGAGAUAAUGGCUUUGGUUAACAAAUUGUUCUCUUCCUACAGUUUUCUAGAUUUGCCUCAGAAACUUGGCAUUCUACAAAGUCUUGAACUAAAGGAAAGGGUUUUCCUGAGAAGAGAACUUUCAACAGUCUAACCAAACCAUGACCAAACUGUGCAGGAUCAACCUCUCUUCAUAACUAGGUAAAUGGGAACCUCAGUGGUACAGCUUAAGAGUAAGAAGUUGUAAGCAGACUUAGUGAGGACUUUAUUGUCUGGGAGUUUGCAUUCUGAGGAGAAAUUAAUACAUCUCUUCAUUUCACUGGCCCUGGAGCCCUAAUCACUAGUGAACAUAGUAUACUCUAUGGAUUUACCAAUAUUUACCAAUAUUUCUCAGAAAAGGUUUGAUUAGCAAGAAAUACCCAUGAGUGCUGUUUAAACGUACUUACAGUUCUCUUAUGAAGUCAUUAGGCAAAGACUUGUUAUGCUCUGAUUAGCUUAUUAGUUCAUUCUGGAUCUGAUAGAGAGUUUUGGGGCAUUGUCUGUCAACUUGCUAGAAAUUAGGACAACAAAUGCCUUUGAAUUGUCUUUGCUCAUUUAACCAUGUCUCUGCAGAUGUUCACUAUUUUAAUAUGUCUUUUAUUUGAAAAGUGCAGUAUUUGUAUAAUCAAUUAGAAAUGUACACUUCUGAAUAAAUGCAGAAGUUUAUAAGUAGAUUAAAAUGCUAAAGAGACAUACUUUCACCUCAAAUGAUGUCAACGUGCAUAUCAACAUAUAUGAUUAAUUCUGAGUAUCAGAAGAUCAUUUCAGGCUCCCUAGUUAGUUCAUGCAGUGAUAAUAAAAAAUUACAUGGUAUAUAGUUUAUGAAGACAGCCCAUAAUGAUAGUGUACCUUGUACUUAGCUUAUUUACAAAUGAUCAUAAAUUACUUUUCUGUAAGAAUGAGAGAAUGAGAGAGCUGUUGCUUUAAAAAUCAAAUUAUUUUAAAUAAUUGUGUAAAAAUAUUAGUGGUGUUUCCAAGAAGCACAAUGAAAAACUCCUGUUUACUCUUGUUACUUUUUAGCAUGAAUGAGUUAGUGAGAUGGAAAUGCAGUGCAGUAAAAAGAAAUUAAAAUUUUGACAUAGAGGGCUGUAGCACUGGAUAGCUUCAAGGGGCGCCAUUCACAUAAUAGGUUCUGUGCAUGGCAUUCCCCCAAGUUGUGCAGUACACACACAGACAUACAGACACAAAGACACACACACACACACACACACACAUAGUGUGUACUGACCAUAUACAGUGGCCUUGUGUAGAGUAAUGUAGGAGGCCUGGUUAAAUAGUGUUGGGCAAAGUUCUUGGUUUUCUUUGAACCUUCAUUUCCUAGUCUAUAAAGUAGAGAUGAUUUUACUUAUGAGAUAUGGUUCUUUUGUCAAUUACAAAAGAAUUUACCUGUCAGGUAUCGUUCUUCUGUGAAGACAGGGUUUUACAAGGGUUCAUUCCCAUAACAGCACUUAACAUAGUACUGAACUCAUAUUAGGUACUUAAUAACUUAGCCCUGAGAGUAGGUAAAUAAAAUAAAAUCCAAGAAGUUGAUUAAAAGAGGGGGAAAAAUGUUAUUCACUAGGGCAUAAAACUUAAAGAAUGGAAAAAUGAAAUCAGUCUUACAAGGUGGCCUAUCUUUAUGUGGCACCUGAGGUCUGUUCCUUGUACUGAAUGCAGGCUUAAGAGAAUAGGUGACACAGAGUGGAUAUAUGCAUGUUAUCAGAAGCUUUGAAACCUUUGAAUAUUUCAAACUAGUCCUGCUUAUGUUUCAUGACAAACAGCAAAAUGGAAUCAGGGAGUUGGUGGUACUUUCCACUUCAGUUUUAAAAUUCUUUCCAAGUAAUUCAUUUUACUAUGUCUGUUCCAAGCCUUUUUUUCUAAGUGCUCUAGAGGAAACUUUUUAAUGGUUAGCAAUGCUGCUCUUGAGUGUAUGCAUACACACACACAAAUAUGUGCACACACACACAGCCUGCAGAUUUUGAAGACUUAAUUUAAAAAUGUUAAUUUCCGUCAUAUUCAUUUUAGACUUUGACAAGAAAAUACAAAGGAGACAUUGGAAAUUGUUUUCCAGAAAAAGAAAAGACAUUACAACAAAGAAAAAUAGAAGAAAGUUUGUAUAAUUCAGUAUAAUAAAAAUAAAGGUGUAAUGACAAUUACUGUAGCCAUCAAUCUUUAAUAAUUUGUGAAGAAUCCAGCCUCAGAUGCAAUGAAGCUUCAUAAGAUUUGUGAUUACAGAGUGUAAAAUAUAACAGAUGCUACAAUAUUUAGAUGCCUGCUGGCAUUUACCUUUUUCCCUGCACAGUUCAUUUCAACUAUAUGAAAAUUUUAUAUGCUAUAUAAAAGUAGAGAAAAAGAAAUUUAUUUGUAAAAUAACCACAGGAGAAUUGAUGGUGUUUCAGCAAUGUGGUAUUUGAUUCCCUUUGACCAUAUGAACUAUGUGAGAAAGUGGAGAAUUUGAUGAUACAGUAUUAUUUUCAGUUUUCAUAUGGUGGAAGAUGCACAGGUCAAAAAAUAACACUGGCAUUGAAUUCAAUUACUUUUUCUGUGGUAUACAGGGCUGACUUUUGAGGAUGGGAGCCCUACUGUUCACUGGAGACAUGGUUUCACUUUGAGGAUAGCAAUAGAGAGGUAGCGGCAUUGGUGACUCUGGAGAAAUGACCAGUGUUACGUUUCAGAGGCAGACACUUGCAGUGCAACAUCUCGUUUUAAAAACACAGUUUGGAGUUAUUAAAUAUUAGUUUUCUUUUUCUUUUUUUGUCUUUUUAGGGCCACACCUGCAGCAUACAGAGGUUCCCAGGCUAGGGGUCGAAUCAGAACUGUAGCCGCUAGCUUACACCACAGUCACAGCCACGCCAGAUCCAAGCCGCAUCUGUGACCUACACCAGAGCUUAUGGCAAUGCCAGAUCCUUAGCCUACUGAGCAAGGCCAGGGCUCUAACCUGCAUCCUCAAGGAUGCUAGUCAGAUUCGUUUUUUCCACUGUGCCACAACAGGAACUCCUAAAUAUUA